AUUGAACGCUGGCGGAAUGCUUUACACAUGCAAGUCGAACGGUAGAGGGGGCAACCCCUCGAGAGUGGCGAACGGGUGAGUAAUAUAUCGGAACGUGCCCUGUCGUGGGGGAUAACGUAGCGAAAGUUACGCUAAUACCGCAUACGAUCUAAGGAUGAAAGCGGGGGAUCGCAAGACCUCGCGCGAUUGGAGCGGCCGAUAUCGGAUUAGGUAGUUGGUGGGGUAAAGGCCCACCAAGCCAACGAUCUGUAGCUGGUCUGAGAGGACGACCAGCCACACUGGAACUGAGACACGGUCCAGACUCCUACGGGAGGCAGCAGUGGGGAAUUUCGGACAAUGGGCGAAAGCCUGAUCCAGCCAUUCCGCGUGCAAGAUGAAGGCCCUCGGGUUGUAAACUGCUUUUGUACAGAACGAAAAAGUUUCUACUAAUACUAGGAGCUCAUGACGGUACUGUAAGAAUAAGCACCGGCUAACUACGUGCCAGCAGCCGCCGUAA
rnacentral:rRNA from 1 species